UAGGGAAUCUUCGGCAAUGGACGAAAGUCUGACCGAGCAACGCCGCGUGAGUGAAGAAGGUUUUCGGAUCGUAAACUCUGUUGGUAGAGAAGAACGUUGGUGAGAGUGGAAAGCUCAUCAAGUGACGGUAACUACCCAGAAAGGGACGGCUAACUACGUGCCCG
rnacentral:rRNA from 1 species